GAUUCUUCCCAAUGUUGUGUUUCGUGCCGGCCGCACUGCCGGUGUCGGUGAUCAGACUGUUUGGUCAUUGUGACAUCUAAUGUGUUAAGUGUCUCUUGGUAACAUCUCAGAAAGUCACCUUCAAAGUAAAUCAAUUUCCCGCUUCGAGGAUGCAGUGAAACACUGAAAAAAUUUUUAGUGAAUUUUUGGACCGAGAAGGGUGUGGUUACACGAAGCGAGUAGAUUGUGUGUAAGUUAUGCAAGUGAAAAUGGCCGUCGCUCGUGCACGACGGGUUCUCUUCCGUUGCUACGCGCGCCGUUGAUGAAAAACGCAAGGGGUGGAGUUUUGCUCCGGCCGCCGCUGGACGCCGCUGCCAUGUGCGAUGUGCGAUGGAAAGCCGCAAAAGUGCGCUCCCUCUGUGUGUGUCAGUUUUCAGACUGACUCUUGCGGCGCUGUUCCCGUUGGAUAACAUUCAAAGAAAAAAAGAAGCUCGAUCUAAACUCGGCGAUGCCAUUGCAGGGUGUCGGUUGGACGCAGCCUAAAAUGACAGAACACAAAGCGACGCCGACGCCCGAGGAACAGCAAAAAAGGGAGCGAAACAGAGCGAAGGCGGGGGCGAAAAUAGCGACAAGCGGCACACCGUUAUUUGCAUAAAUUUGCGCUGCGCCCAAAAAUAGUACUCCGGAAAAGAUAAUUAAAAGAGCCGAAUGAGUGACACAAGUAUCCAGCGUUCGUAGAGUCACUAGACUAGAACGAGAUAUUUUAUGCAGCUAACAAGUUUCGUUGUUGUGUUUUUUGCUUUUGGUGAUUGGCAUGGCUGAAAAGUUAUUUCCUCACUUUUUGUGGGAUCUAUUCUUGAAUCUUUAAUACUAGCCACUGACAAAACUAGAAACAAGUUAGAGGAUUUUUUUAUGAUCAAACUUUUUACCACAAAAACUAAAAUUGAAAAAUAAAAAGAAUAAAUUUAAUAAAUUGUA